AAUUGCGUAUAAGGAGACCACCAUACCUACCUGUUCGAGAACAGCUUUUUCUAACAAUUGGAAUCGACGUGUGGCGGGAGGAGAUUAAGAAGCAAAGGCAAAAACCUAAUUUUUUGAUACUGGAACUGAUUGAACAAAGGGAGCUGCUCUGUCACUCUAGAGAACUAAUCGAAGAGGGGGUUUGUUUGACUAAAGCUAAAGCCCUUUUUUACAUCUUCGAACUUCAAGGUAGUUUCAGCCAGUGAAAAGCUUAUUUUAGACUCCGGCCGCGAAAACUCUUCUUUCUUACUUAAAGAAUUUAUGGAAUUUCGGGGUUGUUGGA
rnacentral:lncRNA from 1 species